rnacentral:lncRNA from 1 species
CCCUCGUGACUCCAGCUAGCGACCAGCGAACCUGUACAAAACCGGCGGCGGCGUCCGCGGCGGUUGCAAAGGCGCCCACCGCUACUUCCGCUACGGUCGCGCCUCCCGGGCACCGUACUCUUAUUGCGCACGACCAGUGCGACGGCUCAGUAGCAAACGAGUAAGUCGCCCUCCCAGAGCUCCCGAAACUCCCUCAAGCGCCGCCAUCUUGGCUAUCGAGUCCGUACGUUCGCGGGAAACAUGGCCGCGCCUAUGUGAGGCUUUCCGGAGGGCGUCGCCACCUUCUCCGUCGAGUCCGUACGGCGGACUCUUGGAAUUACUCGACGUUAUAGGCAAUAUGGCCACGUCUACUUUGUGAUUUCCAUUCAGACGCCGACUUCUUGGAAUCUGACUCCGUAAGGGGGCCGACUCCGUACGUUCCCAGAGGAUAUAUGCCGGCGUCCAGAUACACACAGCUGCCUCCUGCAAACUACUGCUUGGAUCUAGUCACGUUCAGUUCCCCUUCYACGUAUGGCCGUGGGGCGCCGGCAGACUCUGUGCCUGGCCUGGGCGAAGCAAACCGGGAUCCCCAGGUGUCUSCGACUUCACCUGCCUUCACCCGGCUCUCACGCCUGGCUGUUCACCAGGCGCUGACACCAUUGGAGUAAUAAAUUACUUGGAAAUGAACUUUCAUCGUAUCACCGCUUCUUUCAAUGAAAGUUUAAUAUAAAUUAACAACAACCAAGUUGCUGCAACCUCCUUCGUGUACUUUUAAAAAAAAUAAAUCGGGCUGGUGUUGUGGCUCA